CAGUCGCCGCGGUAAUACGAAGGGUGCAAGCGUUACUCGGAAUUACUGGGCGUAAAGCGUGUGUAGGUGGUUGUUUAAGUCUGUCGUGAAAGCCCUGGGCUCAACCUGGGAAUUGCGAUGGAUACUGGGCGACUAGAGUGCGGUAGAGGAUAGUGGAAUUUCCGGUGUAGCAGUGAAAUGCGUAGAGAUCGGAAGGAACAUCUGUGGCGAAGGCGACUAUCUGGGCCAACACUGACACUGAGACACGAAGGCGUGGGGAGCAAACAGGAUUAGAUACCCCAGUAGUCCCUGUCUCUUAUAC
rnacentral:rRNA from 1 species